GAGCUGAUACCCAACUUCUCCACACGGCACUACGAAAAAAGUUGACAGGCAGCAGUUCGCACAUCGCUGGGGCACGCAAUGAUCCAGGUGAUACCUCUCAACGUCUUGAUGGUUUUCACAGGUUUGGGGAUUGAAAUACCGACUCCAGGUACAGAGGUAGAUGACACAGAAUUCUUCAAUCUUUUAUCAUCUAAGAGGCAAGCAUCAUCGCGAGUUUCAUCUUCAUCAUCAGAGUAAUCAACUGUGCAGGUUCUAUCAUUAGCAAA